UAGGAUUUAUGUUAAAAAAACUAAAACCCUUCAAAGCUUUAAAUAAAGAUUUCUCUUUAAUCCUUA
rnacentral:tRNA from 1 species